AACAGACACUUGCCUUGCAGUACUGCAUCCUUGGGCAGGGUAGGGAAUGAGUGGGCUUUCCCCCAGGGUGAACCCACACACUUCCUCCACACUCUCACCUGCUUCACACAAAAUCACAAUCUUAUGAUCUUCAGCUCCCAGCUCAGGAAACCCAUAGAACCUUCCAUCCAGCUCACCAUUGAGUUUGGCAGGUUUUUGACCAUCGGUACAUCCCACCAUGGCUACAAAACAGUUAUUUUGUUUUUAAUGCACCAAGAUAGCUAUUAACUUUACAGCACCACUCAGAACACUCGACAAUAAAUCGCUUAAUUCAAAAAAAAAAAAAAAUAGAAGCCUAGUGAGCCCUUAAUGGAAACAUAGCUAAAUCAAAUAUGAUACUUUCUAGGAUUUUCCUACAUAAAAUAAUGAAAAACCUUUCAUUAUUAAAUCAGAACUUACAAAUCAAAAUGUAUGAAGUUAUUUCUCCCCACAUGUUUUUAAUGAUAUGAAUAAGCACCACAUUGUGUAUAUUUUAAAUUAACCUUAAUGCCAUCUAGUGGUCAUUGAGAAAUUUUCAUCUCAGAAAGUUGACAACUAGAAAUUUAAAAAUUAUUAAUAAUAAAAAUACUGCUUUUGUUGAAGAGAUUUAAGGAAUGUCCACAAUGUUCCAGGACAGUGCUUGGCACUGUACAUGGUUUAUCUCAUUUUCUCUCUACAAUAACCUUAAUUAGUACUAUAACUCAUUAUACAGAUGAAGAAACUAAGGCAUAGUGGUAUUAAAUAACAUGCAUACUCACGGAUAUAGUAAAAGCCUAGGUGGAAUUCAAACCCAAGUAGUCAGCGCAUUGCUUUCAAACUCAAGCAGAAGGCUAUACUUUUACUAAUAAACCUCAGCUUUGACUGAAAGAAUAUGGCUGAUAGACUAACACACACUCUCUGUUAAUGUGUCUGAAGGAAGGCACAGCCCUCACUUCUCCACUCCACAUCCAACUCCCUGCACGGUGCAGUUCCUGGGUUUCUCCUUCAAGCACUAUUUCUAUGGUGUGGGGAUUUUUACACAUUUGCAAUUCAUAUCUGACAUCUCUAAAAUGUGAUAGAUUCACUCGUUCAUGCAACAAAUAUGUCCUGAAUUCUUAUGCACUAGACUGUGCCAGGUGCUGGGAGUGCAACAGGGAACCAAACAGACCCAGCCCCUCCUUUCAUGGAGCUUCAAGUGCAGGAGGAGGACAGGUGGACGUAAAUUACACGGAGGUACAAUCACAUCAGGGAAAGGGCUCCCUGAAGAAAUGUGGGGUGUUGGCAGGGUGCUUUUAGCAGGACGACCUUCCUCUGCGACCUGAGUGGUGAUGAGAAGAGAAGCAUGGGAACGAGUGGGCGUGAGCGAGGUGUCGGAUAGAGGAACUACAGACGUGAGUGGCCAGCAGAGGGCAUCUUCUACCCUUCCGCUGAACUCCCAGCAUUGCACUCACCCAGGGCAAGCGCAACAGGAAGUCUACUACAAACCAGGCACCCUGGAUUCUUUUGCCGUAAAAGGAAUUUGUAUCAAAGGCCAUAAUUAAAUCAUACCUUUUUCAUACUUUGAACAAAUCACUUUUACUAAAAAUACUAAAUUGCAUCAUAUUGAAACUGUUUUGAAGACCCAAAUAUAAUGGUGACUCUGCUGAUUAAAGUUUCCGUUGGUACUUUAUGAAUAAUUCAAGUGUCUCUUAAAUGAGAUUUUUUUUUGUUUGGUUUGAGAUUAUGAAAAUAACACUUAUGACAGGUAAUAUAACAUAGAAAGAAUAACAAAAAAAAGCUGACAUCCACAUCUUAUAACCCAGAGACAAACAAUCUCAACAUUUUAGAAUGUUCCUUCUAGUCUUUUUUCUGUGGCUAUUUUACAAAGAAUAGAUUAUAUAGACAAGUUUUAUUUUUAUUUAUCUAUUUUUCUUUUAGGGCUGCACCCACAGCAUAUGGAGGUUUCCAGACCAGGGGUCAAAUCAGAGCUAUAACUGCCAGCCUACGCCAGAGACACAGCAAUGCCAGAUCCAAGCUGCGUCUGCGACCUAUACCACAGCUCACGCAACACCAGAUCCUUGACCAACAGAGCAAGGCCAGGGAUCAAACCUACAUCUUCAUGGAUACUAAUGGGGUUCGUUAACCACUGAGCCACAAAGGGAACUCCCAAUAUACAGACAAGUUUUAAUUUAUUCAUUUAACAUAAUCAUUAUUUUACUUGUUAUUAUACACUCUUUGCUAACAUUAUUUUAACAUUAUGUACCUAUAAUGUUAGGUACAAAUAAAAUAACAUUAUUUUAACAGCUAGAUAAUAUUUCAUUAUAUAGAUUGAGUCCAGUUUCCCUAACUUAUUUCCCAAUUUUUGAGUAUGAAGUAUUUUCGAUGUUUAAUAUGUAACAAAUUAUAGAUAAAUAAUAAAUGGCAUAUGGCAAUAUGUAAUAAAUUAUUGCAUGCCAUGAUACUUAUUUCUUUAAAACAUGGCCUAGUCACCAGAAUAGAAUUUAGUAAAAAGUAAACAUUACUGUCAAGUGAUUAAGUAACUGAGACAGCUUAUUUGCCUGUCUGAAGAGAAUUUAGGAAAGUAACAAAGCAAAUUACAAAGGCAAAAAAAUCACUGCUCGAGAACACCGACAUCUAACCUGUGCCCCAUCCUCCGCCCCCUCCACUUCUUUCUUGAACUAUUGGCUGGUUCUACCUCCAUCUUAAGACAAGCUGCAGUAAAAGUUAAUAGGUAUUUUUGUCAUGUUAGAGAAUCCCAGCAAGCCAUCCUAAAGUCCCAUUUGUGAAGUGAUGUGUCACAUUAACACAUUUUAUGGGCUUAGUCUUGUGCUGCCUAAUUGAAUAAUUUACUAUCUGUGACAUUAGCUUGAUUCACACAAUAACACACACAAACACACAAUCCAUACAGAAGAUUUGUAAGUGAUUACAUCUCAGCUUUCCAUUCUCUGAAUAUGCCCUGGUGCUUUUCAAGCUGAUCUUCAGUGCCACUUACAUGAACCAGCUUAUGAGCCAUUUAUGAGCCACCAUUUAUGAACCAGCUUCCAUCUCUUUGACAUUAGAUAUUUACUUGAUGUGGAAGCAAACUGGGAUUGAAACUUUUCUUCUUCUAGUUGGGUUCUGUUAAGUACACAUAUGCUGAUUUUUAAGAUGCUGGGACUCUUUUUUUUUUUUUCUGUCUUUUUAGGGCCACACCCACAGCAUAUGGAAGUUCCCGGUCUAGGGGUCAAAUUGGAGCUGUAGCCGCCAGCCUAUGUCACAGCCACAGCAAUGCAGGAUCUGAGUCGCGUCUGUGACCUACACCACCGCCCACAGCAACACCAGAUCUUAACCCAAUGAGCAAAAUCAGGAAUCAAACCUACAUCCUCGUGGAUAUCAGUCAGGUUUGUUAACUGCUUGUUCACAACGGGAACUCUGAUGCUAGGACUCUUGAACAGAGUUUCCACAGAAAGGCAUGGGCAAGACCGAGAUGACACAUCCAUUGUGCCGUGAAUAAGGUCAGUACUAGAUAAAAAGGGAUACCCUGAACAGUGGUGGAUGAGACCUUUCAGACCCUGCAGCAAUGCCUUCACUCCAUGCCAGCAUCUGAAAAGAGUGACUACACAGAUUGAUCCCCAGUGACCACACAAAUGGAUGCCACUUAGCCCGAAUCUGAUGGAAGCAGGGGAUAUUUGGAGUUAAGACUGACAUUUCAGAGUCAGACUCACUAGGCUUUGUUAUUGGUUCAUCCAUAUACUACAAAGGCCCAGGGCAAGUAACUUAACAUUUUUAUAAGUCACUUUUCUCCUUUAAAAAAAAAGAUAACAAUAGUGCCUGCUAUAUCAGAUUUUGAGAAGACUGAAUGAAAUAAUCCAUGGAAAGCUCCUAACACAGUAUCUGGCAUGUGGAGAGCACCCAAUGAGUUGUUAUUAUUGUAAUUGUUCUUUACUUAUAUCAAUGAGUUAAAUAUUUUUCUCCCAUUAAAUCAAUGUGAUGAAGAAUGUACUCCUCAAACAUCUCUUAUUCCUCUUCAAUAUGCUGUCAAGAUCUGUCCACCUUGGCACCAGCUUACAUUUGAAACACACAACUUGCUGAAGGGCAGAAGGAGAGGUAAUGAGUGCCUUAGAAUUACCUCCACCCAAAGAAAUAUUUCCUUUUAUUCAUCCCCAAAUCCCAUGAAGGCAAGAACCUUGUCUGCCUUGUUGACCAGCAGCAAGUACAAUGCCUAGCACAUAAAAAGAACAUGCAUAGUAUAUACUUGAGUAAGUACAUGAACAGUCCUAAAACAACUCCCCUAUUUUGCAAAUGCCUAUUUCAGAGCUCAGUUCAAGUGAACACAUUUUCUCUCUUUUUAUAGAAGUCACCAUAAUGAAACCUUCUGUCACGCUUUCACUUGACCUCAGAUAUGCCACUGCUCUUGGUGACACAGAGGCAAUCUUGGAUUUCUCAUGAAAAAGCACCAUGUGCCAACCUAAGGGAACCCAGCUGGUACUCACCAAGGUCUACAACAUUUUUCUAACUCUUCAGAACAAGUUUUAGCCUUUUUGGAAGCCUAACUUAGUAAACAAGUCUAACUCCAUGCAAAUUAGACCCUACAUUUGAAAGUUGAAAUUUCAUCACCUCUGCUGUUUUCUGAGCCCUCAUUCAACUGGAAUAUUUGUUUAUAGCACUAAAAGGUAUGAAAUCUCUAAAUUAUGGAUUAAAUUUUGUUCAAACCAUUAUAAGAUGAAUCCAUGGCAUUAGCCUCUAGCAACAUACCAACCUAUAUUAUUUUCUGCACACACCCCCUCCUCCAGCCAAGCAACUAUCUCCUCUUCUCUUACAAAUCCCUCAUCUCUGUUCUGUGUUUUUUCAGACUACCCAGGUCAGAGCAAUUUACUGAGAUUGGAGUUCCUGUCGUGGUGCAGUGGUUAACGAAUCCGACUAGGAACCAUGAGGUUGCGGGUUCGAUCCCUGCCCUUGCUCAGUGGGUUAACGAUCCGGCGUUGCCGUGAGCUGUGGUGUGGGUUGCAGACGCGGCUCGGAUCCCGCGUUGCUGUGGCUCUGGCGUAGGCCGGUGGCUACAGCUCCGAUUCAACCCCUAGCCUGGGAAUCUCCAUAUGCCGCGGGAGCGGCCCAAGAAAUAGCAACAAUAACAACAACAA
rnacentral:lncRNA from 1 species